UACGGAGGGAGCUAGCGUUGUUCGGAAUUACUGGGCGUAAAGCGCGCGUAGGCGGCUUUGUAAGUUAGAGGUGAAAGCCCAGGGCUCAACCCCGGAAUUGCCUUUAAGACUGCAUCGCUUGAAUCCGGGAGAGGUGAGUGGAAUUCCGAGUGUAGAGGUGAAAUUCGUAGAUAUUCGGAAGAACACCAGUGGCGAAGGCGGCUCACUGGACCGGUAUUGACGCUGAGGUGCGAAAGCGUGGGGAGCAAACAGG
rnacentral:rRNA from 1 species